rnacentral:rRNA from 1 species
AUUGAACGCUGGCGGCAGGCCUAACACAUGCAAGUCGAGCGGAUGAAGGGAGCUUGCCCCUGGAUUCAGCGGCGGACGGGUGAGUAAUGCCUAGGAAUCUGCAUGGUAGUGGGGGGUAACGUCCGGAAACGGGCGCUAAUACCGCAUACGUCCUGAGGGAGAAAGUGGGGGAUCUUCGGACCUCACGCUAUCAGAUGAGCCUAGGUCGGAUUAGCUAGUUGGUGGGGUAAAGGCCUACCAAGGCGACGAUCCGUAACUGGUCUGAGAGGAUGAUCAGUCACACUGGAACUGAGACACGGUCCAGACUCCUACGGGAGGCAGCAGUGGGGAAUAUUGGACAAUGGGCGAAAGCCUGAUCCAGCCAUGCCGCGUGUGUGAAGAAGGUCUUCGGAUUGUAAAGCACUUUAAGUUGGGAGGAAGGGCAGUAAGUUAAUACCUUGCUGUUUUGACGUUACCAACAGAAUAAGCACCGGCUAACUUCGUG